AUUCUAUGAUGAUUUGCUUUUGGUCCGUGUUUAUGAAUAACAAUGAUUUUAUUAUUCAAAAGCUCUGAUUUU